rnacentral:rRNA from 1 species
GACGAACGCUGGCGGCGUGCUUAACACAUGCAAGUCGAACGGAAAGGCCCUGCUUUUGUGGGGUGCUCGAGUGGCGAACGGGUGAGUAACACGUGAGUAACCUGCCCUUGACUUUGGGAUAACUUCAGGAAACUGGGGCUAAUACCGGAUAGGAGCUCCUGCUGCAUGGUGGGGGUUGGAAAGUUUCGGCGGUUGGGGAUGGACUCGCGGCUUAUCAGCUUGUUGGUGGGGUAGUGGCUUACCAAGGCUUUGACGGGUAGCCGCCUGAGAGGGUGACCGGCCACAUUGGGACUGAGAUACGGCCCAGACUCCUACGGGAGGCAGCAGUGGGGAAUAUUGCACAAUGGGCGGAAGCCUGAUGCAGCAACGCCGCGUGCGGGAUGACGGCCUUCGGGUUGUAAACCGCUUUCGCCUGUGACGAAGCGUGAGUGACGGUAAUGGGCAAAGAAGCACCGGCUAACUACGUG